rnacentral:sRNA from 1 species
GUCGUGAGAUGUUGGGUUAAGUCCCGCAACGAGCGCAACCCCUGUCCUAUGUUGCCAGCGGGUAAUGCCGGGGACUCAUGGGAGACCGCCGGUGCCAAACCGGAGGAAGGUGGGGAUGAAGUCAAGUCAGCAUGCCCCUUACGUCCAGGGCUGCACACGCGCUACAAUGGCCGGUACAAAGGGUUGCAAACUCGCGAGGGUGAGCUAAUCCCAAAAAACCGGUCUCAGUUCGGAUUGCAGUCUGCAACUCGACUGCAUGAAGUCGGAGUCGCUAGUAAUCGCAGAUCAGCACGCUGCGGUGAAUACGUUCCCGGGCCUUGUACACACCGCCCGUCACACCACGAAAGUCGGCAACACCCGAAGCCGGUGGCCCAACCCUUUUGGGAGGGAGCCGUCGAAGGUGGGGUUGGCGAUUGGGGUGAAGUCGUAACAAGGUAGCCGUACCGGAAGGUGCGGCUGGAUCACCUCCUUUCUAAGGAACACACUGCCCAGCCCAAGGCGGCUUUUCGAAAACACUUUCGGAAAAACGUCCUUGGAAUCUCUGGGAAGUUCCUACGUCGAGCACUGGUAUAUGUGGCGAUCACGAGCCCCCUCGACCCUGGUACACCAGCCAGCUGACCUAGCCCCGAUAUCUGGGGCGGGAUCAUCAGCCGGGCCGUUGCCGGCACCACCGAGACCUCGUCAUCGUCCGGCCUUCACUGCUCUGUUUUGAGGAAGCGGCACAGAGCCGCCAUCUCUCACGGCAGAUCGGGUGAUCCGUUUCCGUUGAGCUCUGCUCCGGGACGGGUCAUACCGCCGCCGCAUGACGCGUUGCGUCUUGGCUGAGCCUUUGAGAACUGCAUAGCGAGCACGAGCGUCUAGUAACGCGUUGUGGUCCUUGGUGUUCGAACGAGUUUUCCGCCCGUUCGAAAACACGAGGACUGUGCGAUUUCAAGCUAUGAAGAGCCAACGGUGGAUGCCUUGGCGCCAGAUGCCGAUGAAGGACGUGGGUGGCUGCGAAAAGCCACGGGGAGCUGUCUACCAAGCUUUGAUCCGUGGAUAU